UAGACACACACACAGAUCCAAGUAGAAAAGUCAAAUAGGUAGUUGAAAUCCAGUGUUCCCAGGGUAUGUGGGCUAAAUAUAUUUUGGGCUUCUAUCAGCAUAUAGAUACUAGACUAAAUAAGAUCAGGAGUCACUGCAGAUAGAGCAGGGGUCCAGAAUUGGACAUUCCAAAUUUAGAGGUUGGAAGAAUGAGGAAGGACCAGUGGACUUGAAGAGCAGCAAGGCAGAAGUGAGGUACUGAAAGAUGGGAAGUUCAUAAGGAAGAAAGUGAGCAAUUCAUCAAAUUCUAACACGGGAUUGAAAAUUGAUCACAGGAAGUGGUUGCAUGAGGCUGGAGUAAAGGGAGUUGCGGACAAGGCAGCAUGGUGACCAGCAGAGUGAGGAAACGAGAUGAAAUAGAGAAAUAAAGACCAGAUGUGUCUCAGUCUGUCACCUCAGAGACAUGACUCGGGGCUGAAGAGUGGGGAAGGGCCCUGGGUCCCAGCCACAUGGUAUCACCAAUGUUGCUAAGCACUGCUUUUAAGACUCCCAGGGCACUGCAUGAAAAAACAGCAACUGGCCCCUUCCAUAAUCAGCAAUUUGCAAUAUACAGUGUUCUACAAGAUAGAAUGCCACAACAGAUGAUUAUCUGGUCAAAAACAGUCUUUGUACAGGAAUAGGUUAAAGCAAGAGUUCUUUGAUUAUUGUUCUGGCAGGAAAAGGCAAAGUGAAAAACAAUUCCAGAAAAAAAAGUUACAAAGCA
rnacentral:antisense_RNA from 1 species